rnacentral:rRNA from 1 species
AGAUUGAACGCUGGCGGCAGGCCUAACACAUGCAAGUCGAGCGGUAGAGAGGUGCUUGCAUCUCUUGAGAGCGGCGGACGGGUGAGUAAUGCCUAGGAAUCUGCCUAGUGGUGGGGGAUAACGUUCGGAAACGGACGCUAAUACCGCAUACGUCCUACGGGAGAAAGCGGGGGACCUUCGGGCCUCGCGCCAUUAGAUGAGCCUAGGUCGGAUUAGCUAGUUGGUGAGGUAAUGGCUCACCAAGGCGACGAUCCGUAACUGGUCUGAGAGGAUGAUCAGUCACACUGGAACUGAGACACGGUCCAGACUCCUACGGAGGCAGCAGUGGGGAAUAUUGGACAAUGGGCGAAAGCCUGAUCCAGCCAUGCCGCGUGUGUGAAGAAGGUCUUCGGAUUGUAAAGCACUUUAAGUUGGAGGUAAGGGUUGUAACCGUAAUACGUUAGCAACUUUGACGUUACCGACAGAAUAAGCACCGGCUAACGUCGUGCCAGCAGCCGUA